rnacentral:lncRNA from 10 species
GUGAAAGUGAACAAACUGGCUGUAAAAAGUCGUUUACUUCUAGUGAAAAAGUGAAGCACUCGGCAAGAACUGUGAAUUAUACAUUGCUGAUGGGAAAGUAAAUGGUAUAGUCACUCUUGAAAACAGUUUGGCAGAUCCUUACAAAAGAAAACAUGCAAUUACCAUAUGACCUUGAGGUUUUUAUCCCAGAGAAAUGAAAAAUUACAUUCACAGAAAAUUCUAUACAAAGAACGUUCAUAAAAGCUUUAUUUGUAAUAGCCAAAAACUGGAAUCAGCACAGAUGUCCUUCAACAAGUGAAUGGUUAAAUAAACUGUGAUACAGCUGUACUAUUGAAUACAACUCAGCAACAGAAAGGAAUAAACUACUGAUACAGGCAACAACUUGAAUGAAUCUCCAGGGAAUUAUACUAAGUGAAAAAAGCAAAUCCCAAAAGGUUAUAUAUUUAAAAGUAUAAUCCUAUGUAUAUAACAUUUUUCAAAUUAGAACAUUUUUUAAAUGGAGGACAGAUUAGUGGUUGCCAGGAGCUAGGAAUGAGAGAGGGUAGGGAGGUGUAUAGGAGAGUGGUAGAUAUAGUUACAGAAGAACAACACAAGAGAUCUUUGUA